CACUUUUUUUAGCAUCAGGAAAUUUAUCUCAACAUGUGGAGUAAUGCUGUUGGUUGCUUUGAAUUCCAUUUUUACGGUUUUGUCAUCAUGAACUUUUCAGUGUUUUUGUUAGAAAAAAGCACGCAGUUUCUUUGUGGAAUCGUGUGGUCCUGGCAUGGAGGUUCUUGAGCCAACGCUGGUUUUUGUCCAUGUCCAACGUUCUGCUCCAUCCUUAUCUUCCGGCGUAAGCUCAUCCAGCUUCUGCUUCAUCGCUUCCACGCUUCGUACACAAAAAUACAACUUGUCUUACUUCACUGACGAGUUGGAACACUUCAGUGGUCGCUUCCGUGUCGCUGUUACACACCUGCAGUCAAUCACCACGGGAUUAUGCCCAGGUAAUGCAGAGGAGAGGUCGAGAAGAUGGAUUUUCUCAUCUUUAAAAAUCGUCACCGGUCUCCGUGGAAUGUUGCCCCUGGUCCUGGUGCGAACGAAACUCGUUGGAGUGAAUUGAUAAUGCGCAACAAAAUACUUCUGGCAAUGGAAAGGGACCAUCACUGGAAAACGAAAAGGGACAAUCGCGACCAUCACCGAGACUCGUCAUCAACGUGGAUCAUCGUAUUGUUGGUAUUAUUUCAUCUGUGUUAGUGUUAGUUAACCCGUUGGCUGCCACGCCUUUGU